UCUUGGUUCCUUUUGAGAAGUAAAAGUCGUAAACAGGUUUCCGUAGGUGAACCUGCGGAAGGAUCAUUAUCGAUUCUCCUUUGAGUUGUGCUGGCCUUUUAGGCAUGUGCACGCUCUAAAUCUUAUCAUACACCUUGUGCACCUGUUUGUGUAGGUCUCUUGAGUGGGACCUAUGCUUUUAUUGAAAACACCUCUUGUAUGUUUUUGGAAUGUCUGUAUAUGGUCUUUUCUGCCAUUUGGUGGAAUUGAAUAUAUUAUAACUUUCAGCAAUGGAUCUCUUGGUUCUCGCAUCGAUGAAGAACGCAGCGAAUUGCGAUAUGUAAUGUGAAUUGCAGAUUUUCCGUGAAUCAUCGAAUCUUUGAACGCACCUUGCGCUCCUUGGUAUUCCAAGGAGCAUGCCUGUUUGAGUGUCAUUAAAUUCUCAAACCCCCUUCAUUCUUGAAGGGUGGUGUUGGACUGUGGAGGCUUUGCUGGCAUUGAUCAGCUCCUCUGAAAUGUAUUAGCAAAUGGAAGGUGGUUCUGACAAAGGCUUUUCGUCGGUGUGAUAAUGAUCGCCGUAGGAUGGCUUGAAGGGACUUGGGCCUUCUCGUGCUUAUAGCCUGUUAGAGGGGUGUUGCCCCUUUUUCUUGAUUAUUUGACCUCAAAUCAGGUAGGAUUACCCGCUGAACUUAAGCAUAUCAAUAAGCGGAGGAAAAGAAACUAACAAGGAUUCCCCUAGUAACUGCGAGUGAAGAGGGAAAAGCUCAAAUUUUAAAUCUGGCGGUCAUCGAUCGUCCGAGUUGARAKCWWGMGARRCGUCUUSCGSGCUGGACGUGUAAAAGUGCCUCCUGGAA
rnacentral:rRNA from 1 species